rnacentral:rRNA from 1 species
AUCGAACGCUGGCGGCAGGCCUAACACAUGCAAGUCGAGCGGAGCGGCGGACGGGCGAGUAAUGCCUAGGAAUCUGCCUGGUAGUGGGGGAUAACGUCCGGAAACGGGCGCUAAUACUGCAUACUAUCAGAUGAGCCUAGGUCGGAUUAGCCAGUGGGUGGGGUAAAGGCCUACCAAGGAGACGAUCCGUAACUGGUCUGAGAGGAUGUGCAGUCACACUGGAACUGAGACGCGGUCCAGACUGCUACGGGGGGCAGCUGUGGGGAAUAUUGCACAAGGUGCGCAAGCCAGAUGCAGCCAUGCCGGGUGUAUGAAGAAGGCUUUCGGGUUGUAAAGUACUUUCAGCGGGGAGGCGUUACCCGCAGAAGAAGCACCGGCUAACUCCGUGCCAGCCGCCGCGGUAAUU